AGAGUUUGAUUAUGGCUCAGGAUGAACGCUAGCGAUAGGCCUAACACAUGCAAGUCGAGGGGCAGCACAUGAAGUAGCAAUACGGAUGGUGGCGACCGGCGCACGGGUGAGUAACGCGUAUGCAACCUGCCUACAACAAGGGAAUAACCCGUUGAAAGACGGACUAAUACCCCAUAACACAGGGAUCCCGCAUGGGAAUAUUUGUUAAAGAUUUAUCGGUUGUAGAUGGGCAUGCGUUCCAUUAGCUGGUUGGUGAGGUAACGGCUCACCAAGGCAACGAUGGAUAGGGGAACUGAGAGGUUUAUCCCCCACACUGGUACUGAGACACGGACCAGACUCCUACGGGAGGCAGCAGUGAGGAAUAUUGGUCAAUGGACGCAAGUCUGAACCAGCCACGUCGCGUGAAGGAAGACGGCCCUACGGGUUGUAAACUUCUUUUGUAAGGGAAUAAAGUGCAGUACGUGUACUGUUUUGCAUGUACCUUACGAAUAAGGAUCGGCUAACUCCGUGCCAGCAGCCGCGGUAAUACGGAGGAUCCGAGCGUUAUCCGGAUUUAUUGGGUUUAAAGGGUGCGCAGGCGGGAGAUUAAGUCGGCGGUGAAAUUUUGCAGCUCAACUGUAAAAGUGCCUUCGAAACUGGUUUUCUUGAGUGUGGAUGAGGUAGGCGGAAUUUGUGGUGUAGCGGUGAAAUGCAUAGAUAUCACGAGGAACUCCGAUUGCGCAGGCAGCUUACUAAACCAUAACUGACGCUCAGGCACGAGGGCGUGGGGAUCAAACAGGAUUAGAUACCCUGGUAGUC
rnacentral:rRNA from 1 species